CGGUGGUUGGGCCCGCAUUGCGGACCGAAGGUCUGCGUGAGCGUCUGGCGGGCACUGUGGCCUGCAGAGACUCGAGGUGUGGAGGGCAGAGCCAGGGAGGAGUGAGCACGUCUUGGGACCUGACAGUCCGGCGUCUGGCACCGCCAUCACCGCUAUCGCUGCUCCUGGUGCUGGUGCUGCUGUCCGGAGCCUUGGGCUCUGAGUCCUGAAGAGCUCUUUCCUUAAGGGGAAUCGUGGGGAGACCGGCUGCCGCGGGAGGGCGACGAUGAAAGCUCUGCGGCUAUGAAGCUAGCAGUACCUCUACGCUUCUGCGGUGUCCAGUUCAGCAACCUCUACGUGGGCACCAAUGGCAUCAUCUCCACCCAGGACUUACCCAGGGAGACUUAAUAUGUCGUUGAUGAUUUUCCUACUGACUUCCCAGCCAUCGCCCCAUUCCUGGCUGACAUCCACUCGAGUCACAGCAGUGGCCGGAUCCUGUAUGGAGGACACCUCCUGGGCUGGGCUGAGUCUGGCUGCUUGCUACCUGUGCACAGGCCUCCCGCUGACCGGGUCCAGCUUCUCCCCUACCCACUUCUUCCUGGCCACCUGGGAGCAAGUGGGCCCUUAGGAGGAGGACAGGCUUGGGGUUGCGUGGUCUGGAGAGCUGAACACUCUCCAGGCUGUUCUGGCAUCCGAUGAAUGUGAUUCCUAUGUCCUCUUUCUCUAUCCUGCCAAUGGUCUUCAGUUUUUGGAACUCGCCCCAAAGAAUCCUACAGUGUCCAGCUGCAGCUUCCUGCUAAGGUGGGCUUCUGCCAAGGGGCAGCAGAUGACCUGAAGAGAAAAGCCCUGUAUUUCAGCCUGACUAACAGUGAGCAGUCGGUGAAGAAUCUCUACCCGAUAUGGAGACUUCAAUGAUUUUAAUCUAGAGGAUGCGCUGAAAGAAACUUCCUGAGUAAAGCGUGACUCAAACAAACAAGUCCACCAAGCAAACACAAGUGGUCGGCCGUGCACCACACUCACAAUCUUGCCUUCAGAAAAGUACAUGCAUAUGAGACUAGCUGCACCUCCAUCUACCUGUUAGUUCUGUUGUGCAAGGCUUGUGUCGUCUCGUCAUACGUGUGUCAUCUUCCUUUUUCAUUUAGUCUAUGUCGAAACCACAAGAGAACGUGCAUCUGCCUUCACCUUUUUUCUGCUGUACAAAAAGAGAACUCCUACCCGUUUCAUUCCUCUCACUGUUUUGUUUUGAGACAGGGUCUCUUGAUUUAGCCCGAGUUGUCCUGAAAUUCUCUGUGCCGACAAGGCCGGCUUUGACUUGGAUCCAGUGCUAGAACAACAGUGACUAUUGUCCACUGAUGCAUUUCUAGCUUCAGAACCCAUGACUUUUUAUGAUUCUUCAGUGUGAUCCCCACAAUGGCCUCGGGGACCAAUACCGAGACCAUUCUCACGAUGUGACUUCUGUAAACCAUAAAGCAGCCAAUGUGUUUUACAAUCUGCUUCCUUUCAUCCUCCCAUCUCCCUUCGAGAGCCACUUUAGCACCACGACUAGGAGGACAGGAACUACCAGAGCCCCAUCAAAUCCAGCAGAGAGAUGGGACCACAUCACCACUACUACAGCAAGAAGGCCAGGAGCAACUAGAGCACCGUCAAAUCCUAUGGAACUUGAUGGGUUUGACUUGGAAGACUCCUUGGAUGAUCGGAACGAUCUAGAUGGCCCCAAAAAGCCACGUACAGGAGAAGGAGGAGAUAAGUUCUAGAUGCUCGACAUCACAGGCCAGUGCUACAGCUCCUGGUAUGGUUUGUCUUAUACCUGCAAUGGCGUUCUGAGACGUCCAGAGUACUGUAGAUCUGGGCCAGAUCUGGGCCACGUCGAACUGUAGGAGAACCCCACAAUGGUUGGUCAGACAAGGAUCUUGAAGAUAUCUUGGGAGACGGGGAAUACAAACCUGACAAGAAUAAAGUGGAUGGACUGCCAGACCGAAGGCUUCAUGAAAGAACUGUGCUGCUGUGAACGUCUGUAUAUGGCCGUAUAGAAGAUUUCACACAGGCAUAGUUUUUAACUGUCUUGAGUACUUGUGGGCAUUGGCAUCCGCUCAGCAUCUGCUAGGGCCUCUGUGCUGGGUUCAGACAUGGCUCCGUUUCACUUGUGGGUGCCCCUUUAAUACCCGAACAAUAUAUUAUAUAUUGUUUCUUUACUAAUCUCACUGCACUUGCCCAAAAUUCUCCUCCUGAGACUUAACCAGAGAACAGAGUCUCUGCUGGGCUUUUCUGAGACGUCCUUUGUCGGUGCAAUGAAUCUGAGUCUUCACCUUAGCCUCAGGCAGACUCUUCAGACAGGGGCAAAAAGCAGCCACAUUCUUCACCAAAACACCACAAAAACAAUCUCCAGGCCACACACUGAAAUUAUUCUCCCUGAAGCCUCCUGGGCCAGGUCUAUGCAGUUAAAAUCACUCACAGCCACAAAGUCUUCCUGCCAGGGUGGCUCAUUGGGCCCCACUCAAACCAUUUCGUGGCUUUCCAAAUCCAAAGUCCCAAAAUUCACGUUCUUCCAAAUAAAAGUAUGGUGAGGCCUAUCAGUAAUACCCAGGCCUUGGUAUCAACUUCUGACUUACUUAGGGUUUUACUGCUGCGGACAGACAGCGUGAAUGAGGCAGCUCUCACAGGGACAACAUGUGACUGGGGCUGGCUUACAGGGUCAGAAGUUCAUUCCGUCAUCAUCAUGGCAGGAGCAGGGCAGCGUCCUGGCAGGAUGGUGCAGGAGGGGGUGAGAGUUCUCCAUCCUCAUCUGAAGGCUGCUAGCAGAUCACUGAGAGAAUUACAACCCACACCCCCAAGGCCACGCCCACUCCAGCAGGGCCAAACCCUCUCCAGCAGGGCCAAACCCACUCCAGCCAGGGUCACACCCACUCCAGCAGGGCCAAACCCACUCCAGCCUGGGUCACACCUACUCCAGCAAGGUCACAACCACACCCACUUAUUUCUGGCUCUUAUUUCCUUUAAGUACGAUAUCUGGGACCUUUUGGUGGGACACCAUCUAGCUCCUUCCCUCUAUAUCUAUUGUCUGUCCUUGGUGCUCCAAGCUGUCCAUGUAUGUCAGUUUAUGGCUGGGUUUUGCUUCUAGUUGCUUGAAUGUUUUGUGUUUCAUGUUUAAAAGAAAAACAUGGUUAAAUCUUUAAAUGCUGGUUGAUUCCUCCCUUGAUUUAGUUUUAAGUCCUUUCAAGAAAGGAACAAAUAAAUAAAAAGCAGUUUAAAUUGACCUUUGGAGACCUGCAUCAUAGAUAACUGGUUAUCUCUGGUGUCACAGUCAUGCAUGUCUCUGACUGGAUCUGGUAUCAAUGGAGGAAUGUAGCUAGGAGCCUAGGUCUGUCCACUGGGGAAGCUCCCCAGGGGGCUGGCUAAAUGUUUACACUAGCUGAUCUUAAAGGUGCCAGCAGCUUCAAACCUUCUAUGGUAAUGGAGCUGUUAGCUGUUUCUCUUAGAGAAAUCUUUGACUGUGAUUAUUGGAUUCAACAGCUAACAAGGUGCUUCUUUUAAAAUGACAGCUAGAAAAAGUAAAAAUGGUGUUUGAUCUAAAUACUAAAGAUAUGUGUUGUCACUUCAUUUUUUUUCUGUUUGGUUUUAAAUGUAUAAUGCGCUCUACAUGUCUUGGCUAUAGGUGACUGGCUUUUAAGUUAUUGGGUAUGGUUAAAAAUUUGUAACAUUGGUAACAGAAAGUUGGCUUAAAACUGGAGUCAUUCUAGACAACACGUGGCAUGAGCCAACAUAGGGAAACAGGUCUAGAUUGGGAUCAUAUUUUAAUAUAACUCUUAUCAUGGAAACCAGACUUUUAAAAGAAUUUAGGACAAUGUCUCUUUGGUGAGGUAUUAGAGCCUGCACCAUUGCUCGUUCAUAUGCAAGACUUGGCAGUCAUACUUUAUAGGUCCAGGAAUGGACUUGGAGUUUUGGAGAGACUGGAUUUUAGAGAAUAGAUUGUUUGUUGGAGGGUGACUUUUGCUUUCCAAAGUUAUGGCUGUGCUCUUGUGUUACAAGGGAAACUUAAAGAUUGUGGUUAAUGAUUGCCAGUGUUACAUUGACUACUGUUUACAGUUCGAUCACAGAGAGACACAGGAUUCUAACACACAUAUUUGUAAUUAAGGAAAAAUCAAACAGGUGGAGAUUGUUACGAAGGGUUGAUGAGGCUAUGGAACUUAUAAGAGCAUUACAGCCUGGUUGCUUACUCCAACCGCUAUUUCAAGAAAUACCUAUAGAAUUAUUAUAGGUUUAAGAGAUUGUUUUUAUGCUGUUUCUUUGCACUCUGGGGUUGUUAUGAAAUAUUGCAUUAUUGUGUUUUCUUGGGUGUUGUUUGCCUUGACCAUACAUUUGUAUGACUUUUUGAAAGAAAAGUGUAUUCACUCUUAUUUAUUUUGAUGAAUUGUUCUUUGGCUGACUUUUGUCUGUGGUCCCUCUGCAUGCAGUUCCCUCAGUGGCCAGCGGAUGGCACAGAUGUUGAGUUACAGAUGAUGUUAACAUCUCCUGUUACAGAUGAUGGUUAAGCACACUAUAGGUCCUCUGAGUGAGCAGCAGAUUUUGCAUUGGGUUCUGUUGUUUAUGACCUGGAGUUUGCCUCUCCCCUAUGUUUAUCUCUGCUGUUAACUGUCAUUCAUGUCUCUGACUGGAUCCAGCCUCACUGGAGGAAUGUAGAGCUCUGUGAACUGGGUGACUGCUGGUCUCCUGGGAGUCAGGUAGUACUGUCUCUGUUUAGUGUGGGCCUCCUGUGUCUCUGGUUAGAGCAGGCCUCCAGCGUCCCUGGAGUACAAACCCACAGGCCUCAGAGAAUUUUGAGAGAGUCUGUACUAUUAUUUUCUAUCUUCCCUUCACAUUUCCUACAUCUUUAAUAGAGUACAGAGUUGGCAACUAUGAAUUAUAUUUCCUAGGUGUCUCUCAAACCAAGAGUUUGCAUGUGACUAAGUUCUAGCCAGAAACAUAUGAACAGAGUCCAUAGGCAAAAUGUCUGCCAUUUUCUUCUUUAUGUUUACCCUCCCUAGCUCUGAGGAUCAAAUUCCUAUAUUCUCAAAGAUAGUGGCUUUAUUCAAUAUCAAGAAUGUAUGUGUAAAGUGUCAACAUCUGGUGUUGGGAAUUGUCUUAUUUUGUCCCCCAAAAGCCUCACUUCUAGACCUGAGUGCCCCUGAGGGCUUCAACUGAUAAUAAAGAGUUGCCAUAGCCAAUGGCUGAGCAGAAAGAUAGAAAGACAGGUCAAGGUAUUGGGAGAGAGGAGAGGAUGAAGAGAGUCACCAUGAUCCAGAGUUAGAAGGACCAGAUUUAAAAGCUACAGGAGAGAAAGCAGCCUAUGAUGUAGGUAGAAGGGAAUAGGACCCUAUUGGGGGAGUGGGGUGUUUCCCAGAAGAUAACAGGGCAGCAAAGAUAAAACAUAGAUUUAAAAGGUGUUAAACCUGGGAUGCUGAGUGGAAGGGAGAUGUAUGGUAGCUGUCAGGAGAAUUAGAAAUGUGUCUUUCAUUCUCAAAACCGGAGAACUCUUGGGCAGGUGCCAUGACUGUACUAAGGAGCCAAAGUUGUUUAAUUAAUUCACUGUUACAGUCUGCUACAUUGAGGUCCCAAGUGAGUGUCGCAUUAACCUGGACACGAGUUACACAGCCCAGUCAGCCAAUGCACAGUUUAUUCAGUUUCAACUUCUUUUAAAGGCAAAGCAGGAUAAAAGUUUCCUACCGUUUCUAGUUCUCACCAGCUGCUAUUUCUCAAGCAAUAGCACAUCUUGGAUCAAAGUGACCCAAACCUCCUUGCAGAAUCUGUCAGCAGUCCAACUCUUUUUUUUUUUUUUUUAUUAACUUGAGUAUUUCUUAUUUACAUUUCGAGUGUUAUUCCCCUUCCCGGUUUCCGGGCAAACAUCCCCCUAAUCCCUCUCCCUCCCCUUCUUUAUGGGUGUUCCCCUCCCCAACCUCCCCCCAUUGCUGCCCUCCCCCCAACAAUCUAGUUCCCUGGAGGUUCAGUCUUAGCAGGACCCAGGGCUUCCCCUUCCACUGGUGCUCUUACUAGGAUAUCUAUUGCUACCUAUGAGGUCAGAGUCCAGGGUCAGUCCAUGUAUAGUCCUUAGGUAGUGGCUUAGUCCCUGGAAGCUCUGGUUUCUUGGCAUUGUUGUUCAUAAGGGGUCUCGAGCCCCUUUGAGCUCUUCCAGUUCUUUCUCGGAUUCCUUCAACGGGGGUCCUAUUCUCAGUUCAGUGGUUUGCUGCUGGCAUUCGCCUCUGUAUUUGCUUUAUUCUGGCUGUGUCUCUCAGGAGAGAUCUACAUCCGGGUCCUGUUGGAAUGUACUUCUUUGCUUCAUCCAUCUUGUCUAAUUGGAUGGCUGUAUAUGUAUGGGCCACAUGUGGGGCAGGCUCUGAAUGGGUGUUCCUUCUGUGUCUGUUUUAAUCUUUGCCUCUCUAUUUCCUGCCAAGGGUAUUCUUGUUCCCCUUUUAAAGAAGGAGUGAAACAUUCACAUUUUGAUCAUCCAUCUAGAGUUUCAUUUGUUCUAGGCAUCUAGGGUAAUUCAAGCAUUUGGGCUAAUAGCCACUUAUCAAUGAGUGCAUACCAUGUGUGUUUUUCUGUGAUUGGGUUACCUCACUCAGGAUGAUAUUUUCCAGUUCCAACCAUUUGCCUACGAAUUUCAUAAAGUCAUUGUUUUUGAUAACUGAGUAAUAUUCCAUUGUGUAGAUGUACCACAUUUUCUGUAUCCAUUCCUCUGUUGAAGGGCAUCUGGGUUCUUUCCAUUUUCUGGCUAUUAUAAAUAAGGCUGCGAUGAACAUAGUGGAGCACAUGUCUUUUUUAUAUGUUGGGGCAUCUUUUGGGUAUAUGCCCAAGAGAGGUAUAGCUGGAUGCUCAGGCAGUUCAAUGUCCAAUUUUCUGAGGAACCUCCAGACUGAUUUACAGAAUGGUUGUACUAGUCUGUAAUCCCACCAACAAUGGAGGAGUGUUCCUCUUUCUCCGCAUCCUCGCCAGCAUUUGCUGUCACCUGAGUUUUUGAUCUUAGCCAUUCUCACUGGUGUGAGGUGAAAUCUCAGGGUUGUUUUAAUUUGCAUUUCCCUUAUGACUAAAGAUGUUGAACAUUUCUUGAGGUGUUUCUCAGCCAUUCGGCAUUCCUCAGCUGUGAAUUCUUUGUUUAGCUCUGAACCCCAUUUUUUAAUAGGGUUAUUUGUUUCCCUGCAGUCUGACUUCUUGAGUUCUUUGUAUAUUUUGGAUAUAAGGCCUCUAUCUGUUGUAGGAUUGAUAAAGAUCUUUUCCCAAUCUGUUGGUUGCCGUUUUGUCCUAACCACAGUGUCCUUUGCCUUACAGAAGCUUUGCAGUUUUAUGAGAUCCCAUUUGUCGAUUCUUGAUCUUAGAGCAUAAGCCAUUGGUGUUUUGUUCAGGAAAUUUUUUCCAGUGCCCAUGUGUUCCAGAUGCUGCCCUAGUUUUUCUUCUAUUAGUUUGAGUGUAUCUGGUUAGAUGUGGAGGUCCUUGAUCCACUUGGACUUAAGCUUUGUACAGGGUGAUAAGCAUGGAUCAAUCUGCAUUCUUCUACAUGUUGACCUCCAGUUGAACCAGCACCAUUUGCUGAAAAUGCUAUCUUUUUUCCAUUGGAUGGUUUUGGCUCCUUUGUCAAAAAUCAAGUGACCAUAGGUGUGUGGGUUCAUUUCUGGGUCUUCAAUUCUGUUCCAUUGGUCUAUCUGUCUGUCUCUGUACCAUGCAGUUUUUUCAUUAUUGCUCUGUAAUACUGCUUGAGUUCAGGGAUAGUGAUUCCCCCUGAAGUCCUUUUAUUGUUCAGGGUAGUUUUAGCUAUCCUGGGUUUUUUUGUUAUUCCAGAUGAAUUUGCAAAUUGUUCUGUCUAACUCUUUGAAGAAUUGGAUUGGUAUUUUGAUGGGGAUUGCAUUGAAUCUGUAGAACCCUUUGGUAAAAUGGCCAUUUUUACUAUAUUAAUCCUGCCAAUCCAUGAGCAUAGGAGAUCUUUCCAUCUUCUGAGGUCUUCUUCAAUUUCUUUCUUCAGUGUCUUGAAGUUCUUAUUGUACAGAUCUUUUACUUGCUUGGUUAAAGUCACACCGAGGUACUUUAUAUUAUUUGGGUCUAUUAUGAAGGGUUUCGUUUCCCUAAUUUCUUUCUCGGCUUGUUUCUCUUUUGUGUAGAGGAAGGCUACUGACUUAUUUGAGUUAAUUUUAUACCCAGCCACUUUGCUGAAGUUGUUUAUCAGCUUUAGUAGUUGUCUGGUGGAACUUUGGGAUCACUUGAAUAUACUAUCAUAUCAUCUGCAAAUAGUGAUAUUUUGACUUCUUCUUUUCCGAUCUGUAUCCCCUUGACCUCCUUUUGUUGUCUGAUUGCUCUGGCUAGAACUUCAAGAACUAUAUUGAAUAAGUAGGGAGAGAGUGGGCAGCCUUGUCUAGUCCCUGAUUUUAGUGGGACUGCUUCAAGUUUCUCUCCAUUUAGUUUAAUGUUAGCAACUGGAUUGCUGUAUAUGGCUUUUACUAUGUUCAGGUAUGGGCCUUGAAUUCCUAUUCUUUCCAGGACUUUUAUCAUGAAGGGCUGUUGAAUUUUGUCAAAUGCUUUCUCAGCAUCUAAUGAAAUGAUCAUGUGGUUUUGUUCUUUCAGUUUGUUUAUAUAAUGGAUCACGUUGAUGGUUUUCCGUAUAUUAAACCAUCCCAGCAUGCCUGGGAUGAAGCCUACUUGAUCAUGGUGGAUGAUUGUUUUGAUGUGCUCUUGUAUUCAGUUUGCCAGAAUUUUAUUGAGUAUUUUUGCGUCGAUAUUCAUAAGGGAAACUGGUCUGAAGUUCUCUUUCUUUGUUGGGUCUUUGUGUGGUUUAGGUAUAAGAGUAAUUGUGGCUUCGUAGAAGGAAUUUGGUAGUGCUCCAUCUGUUUCAAUUUUGUGGAAUAGUUUGGAUAAUAUUGGUAUGAGGUCUUCUAUGAAGUUCUGAUAGAAUUCUGCACUAAACCCAUCUGGACCUGGGCUCAUUUUGCUUGAGAGACCUUUAAUGACUACUUCUAUUUCCUUAGGAGUUAUGGGGUUGUUUAACUGGUUUGUCUGUUCCUGAUUUAACUUCGGUACCUGGUAUCUGUCUAGGAAAUUGUCCAUUUCCUGCAGAUUUUCAAGUUUUGUUGAAUAUAGGUUUUUAUAGUAAGAUCUGAUGAUUUUUUGAAUUUCCUCUGAAUCUGUAGUUAUGUCUCCCUUUUCAUUUCUGAUUUUGUUAAUUUGGACGCACUCUCUGUGUCCUCUCGUUAGUCUGGGUAAGGGUUAAUCUAUCUUGUUGAUUUUCUCAAAGAACCAACUUUUGGUUCUGUUGAUUCGUUCUAUGGUCCUUUUUGUUUCUACUUGGUUGAUUUCAGCUCUGAGUUUGAUUAUUUCCUGCCUUCUACUCCUCCUGGGUGUAUUUGCUUCUUUUUGUUCUAGAGCUUUUAGGUGUGCUGUCAAGCUGGUGACAUAUACACUUUCCUGUUUCUGUCUGCAGGCACUCAACGCUAUGAGUUUUCCUCUUAGCACAGCUUUCAUUGUGUCCCAUAAGUUUGGGUAUGUUGUACCUUCAUUUUCAUUAAAUUCUAAAAAGUUUUUAAUUUCUUUCUUUAUUUCUUCCUUGACUAGGUUAUCAUUGAGUAGAGCAUUGUUCAAUUUCCACGUAUAUGUGGGCAUUCUUCCCUUAUUGUUAUUGAAGACCAGUUUUAGGCCGUGGUGGUCCGAUAGCACGCAUGGGAUUAUUUCUAUCUUUCUGUACCUGUUGAGGCCCGUUUUUUGACCAAUUAUAUGGUCAAUUUUGGAGAAAGUACCAUGAGGAGCUGAGAAGAAGGUAUAUCCUUCUGCUUUAGGAUAGAAUGUUCAAUAAAUAUCUGUUAAGUACAUUUGGCUCAUGACUUCUCUUAGUCUGUCUACGUCUGUGUUUAAUUUCUGUUUCCAUGAUCUGUCCAGUGAUGAGAGUGGGGUGUUGAAACCUCCUACUAUUAUUGUGUGAGGUGCAAUGUGUGUUUUGAGCUUUAGUAAGGUUUGUUUUACGUAUGUAGGUGCCCUUGUAUUUGUGGUAUAGAUAUUUAGGAUUGAGAGUUCAUCUUGGUGGAUUUUUCCUUUGAUGAAUAUGAAGUGUCCUUCCUUAUCUUUUUUAAUGACUUUUAGUUGAAAAUUGAUUUUAUUUGAUAUUAGAAUGGCUACUCCAGCUUGCUUCUUCCGACCAUUUGCUUGGAAAGUUGUUUUCCAGACUUUCACUCUGAGGUAGUGUCUGUCUUUGUCUCUGAGGUGUGUUUCCUGUAGGCAGCAGAAUGCAGGGUCCUCAUUGUGUAUCCAGUUUGUUAAUCUAUGUCUUUUUAUUGGGGAGUUGAGGUCAUUGAUGUUGAGAGAUAUUAAGUAAUAGUGAUUAUUGCUUCCUGUUAUAUUCAUAUUUAGAUAUGAGGUUAUGUUUGUGUGCUUUUCUUCUCUUUGUUUAGUUGCCAAGACGAUUAGUUUCUUGCUUCUUCUAGGGUAUAGCUUGCCUCCUUAUGUUGGGCUUUACCAUUUAUUAUCCUUUGUAGUGCUGGAUUUGUAGAAAGAUAUUGUGUAAAUUUGGUUUUGUCAUGGAAUAGCUUCAUUUCUCCAUCUAUGUUAAUUGAGAGUUUUGCAGGGCACAGUAACCUGGGCUGGCAUUUGUGUUCUCUUAGGGUCUGUAUGACAUCUGUCCAGGAUCUUCUGGCUUUCAUAGUUUCUGGCGAAAAGUCUGGUGUGAUUCUGAUAGGUCUGCCUUUAUAUGUUACUUGACCUUUUUCCCUUACUGCUUUUAAUAUUCUUUCUUUAUUUUGUGUGUUUGGUCUUUUGACUAUUAUGUGAUGGGAGGAGUUUCUUUUCUGGUCCAAUCUAUUUGGAGUUCUGUAGGCUUCUUGUAUGCUUAUGGGUAUCUCUUUCUUUAGGUUAGGGAAGUUUUCUUUUCUUUUCUUUUUUAAAUAUUUAUUUAUUAUGUAUACAUCAUACAGCUUUCUGCCUGCAUGUAUGCCUGCAGUCCAGAAGAGGGCAUCAGAUCUCAAUACAGAUGGUUGUGAGCCACCAUGUGGUUGCUGGGAAUUGAACUCAGGUCCUUUGGAAGAGCAGACAGUGCUCUUAACCUCUGAGCCAUCUCUCCAGCCCGGGAAGUUUUCUUCUAUGAUUUUGUUGAAGAUAUUUACUGGUCCUUUGAGCUGGGAGUCUUCACUCUCUUCUAUACUUAUUAUCCUUAGGUUUGAUCUUCUCAUUGAGUCCUGGAUUUCCUGUAUGUUUUGGACCAGUAGCUUUUUCCGUUUUACAUUAUCUUUGACAGUUGAGUCAAUGAUUUCUAUGGAAUCUUCUGCUCCUGAGAUUCUCUCUUCCAUCUCUUGUAUUCUGUUGAUGAAGCUCGUAUCUACAGCUCCUUGUCUCUUCUUAUGGUUUUCUAUAUCCAGGGUUGUUUCCAUGUGUUCUUUCUUGAUUGCUUCUAUUUCCAUUUUUAAUUCCUUCAACUGUUUGAUUAUGUUUUCCUGGAAUUCUUUCAGGGACUUUUGUGACUCCUCUCUAUGGGCUUCUACUUGUUUAUUUAUGUUUUCCUGGAAUUCUUUCAGGGAUUUUUGCGAUUCCUCUCUGUAGGCUUCUACUUGUUUAUUGAUGUUUUCCUGUGUUUCUCUAAGGGAGUUCUUCACGUCUUUUUUGAAGUCCUCCAGCAUCAUGAUCAAAUAUCAUUUUGAAACUAGAUCUUGCUUUUCUGGUGUGUUUGGAUAUUCUGUGUUUGCUUUGGUGGGAGAAUUGGGCUCUGAUGGUGCCAUGUAGUCUUGGUUUCUGUGCUUGGGUUCCUGUGCUUGCCUCUCGCCAUCAGAUUAUCUCUAGUGUUACUUUGUUCUGCUAUUUCUGACAAUGACUAGACUGUCCUAUAAGCCUGUGUGUCAGGAGUGCUGUAGACCUGUUUUCCUGUUUUCUUUCAGCCAGUUAUGGGGACAGAGUGUUCUGCUUUCAGGUGUGUAGUUUUUCCUCUCUACAGGUCUUCAGCUGUUCCUGUGGGCCAGUGUCUUGAGUUCACCAGGCAGGUCUCUUGCAGCAGAAAAGUUGGUCUUACCUGUGGUCCCGAGGCUCAAGUUUGCUUGUGGGGUGUUGCUUAUGAGGUCUCCAAGCUGGCCGCAACCAGGAAGAUCUGCACCGCCCUUUCCGAGAGCUUCCGUGCACCAGGGUUCAAGAUGGCAUUUGGUGUUUUCCUCUGGAAUCAGUAAUGUGUGCAGAGUGCAGUCUCUUCUGGUUGCCCAGGCGUGUCUGCCUCUCUGAAGGUGUAGCUCUCCCUCCCACGGGAUUUGGGUGCAGAGAACUGUUUAUCUGGUCGGUCCCUUCAGGUUCUGGCGGUGUCUCAGACGCAGGGGACCCACUGCUGUUGUGCCCUUAUCCAAGGGAACCCAGAGGCCGCAUACAGUUUCCUCUUGGGCCAGGGAUGUGGGCAGGGGUGAGCAGUGUUGGUGGUCUCUUCCGCUCUGCACUCUCAGGAGUGCCCACCUGUCCAGGCGGUGAGGUGUGUCACUAUUUCUAUGUGAUUGUCUCUAGCUUGUCACUACAUGAGUACAUGGUGGCCAGACUCUGCUGACUUUAAUAGAUACCAGAGAAAAUUUGAUAUCCACACCCCAACCCCCUCUGCUUUUAUCUUGCUAGUCUGCACCCCAGCUCAGUAGUGCAUCGUGAGAGGAUUCUCACAGAGGUGUGUGGACAGUCUAGUUUCUGAUGAACAAGCUCUGUCUACAUCACUUCCUCAAUGACAACCCCUCAAACCCUAGGAUAUGCAUCCUAGUAAUGUGAGACAGCCAGUAUGAAGCCCCUGACUUUUGCUUAGGGCAAACAUUUAAGCAGGGCACACCCUGAUCUCAGGUGCAGGGAAGUUUGUCUGCCUGACAGGUGGCUUUGGGUCUCUGUGAGUAAUCCCUACUUAAAGGUGGACUUUUCACAAGAAAGAGACCAGAGCUGAGUCUUACAUUCUUAGAACUUCAUAUCUUAUCAAUUACACUUCUGGGCUGCGUGCUUUCAGUCGCCACAUAUUCAAGUCACAAGUUUUGUUUGUUUGUUUAUUUGUUUGUUUGUUUCCAGUAUUGGACAGAGAGAGGGAGCAGUUCUACUGUGUUCUGUGUUUCAAACAUAUGACUGGAUGGUUGACUUUCUGUCUCUACUACUGCAGUUAGACCAUCAGGCUGGAUUAGUAAGUUGGAAUCCUCAUUUUGUAGUUCAAAAGUGACUUCUUCCCACUUCUAAUUGUAGCAUCAGCAUCUCAGUACAAGUUUAGUUUAUACAUAGUCUAGGAUUUCUUAACAGAAAAUAUAUUGAUACCCUCAGCUUUAGAACUGAGACAUAAAGCUUUGCUAAUUUUCAGUUCCUGUUCUUGAGGCCAUUGUAUUUGGGGAACAUCAUGUGAUUAGUAAUUGCACCCUCAACUUGGUCAGGCAUGGGAUGCCCAGGUGCUGACUAAAUAGUAUGUCUUACAGUAUCAGGAAGAGUGUUCUAAAGAGCUUAGCAUCCACACUGGUGGACUAAAGGACAUAACUGCUCCUGUGUGUGUGUGUGUGUGUGUGUGUGUGUGUGUGUGUGUGUGUGUGUGUAUGUGUGUAUGUAUGUAUGAUAUCUGGCCAGUUGCUGGCUGAAUAGAAAGAGGAAUAUAGGUGAAGGCUGAUUCCUAGCUUGAUUUGGGGGAUUGAUCUGUCAGUGACAUUUUUAAUUCUCAGGCUGUCAGGCUGACUAGAUCUCAACUGUGAGCUCUACAGUUUUGAGAUUUCUUUCAAACAUAACACUGACUUUACAAGUAGAAACACAUACAGAGCCACAUGUAAGUCAAGGGCUGGAAUACAGACUGAGAAAACUGUUCCUAGGCAGUUUUGUAGCUUGAGUGUGAAAUACACUAUUGAAAAAAACGUUGUGCAUCAUAUGACUGUGUAUACAGAAUACACAUGCAGAGAGAGACAUAUACAAUUGGUUCUAUUUCUUUUAUUUCUUUGAAGAACUCUGACUAAUACUAAGUACUUGAAUCUAAAAUUCAUAGUUUUCUUUAUGGAUCUGUAAGUCAGAGGCUUUGGAAGGCAAGUUACUUGCUGUAGGUCAUUCUUCAAAGGAAGGCGAAGGUAAACAUGAAGGAAAGGUGAACGUCAUGGAGGAAGUUAACACUGGGCUUGCAUAGUUACAUUGGUAGGACUCAUGUCUUUCAAAACACUCAAUCUUUACUUCCUGAUUUCUACACAUGUCUAAAUGUUUUCAAAGGGAGUUCUAAGAACUCCAUCUGUGCCUGGUAGUAAACUAGACAAGGCUCACACCAUUCACUGUAGCAAACAGAACUCACUGAAAACUGGAGAUUAGAUUUAAAGGAUGUGCACUGUCAUCUACACAGUCCACAGAGUCCUGCGAAGUUUCUAUGUUGCUGGCUAUUGGAUGUUUGCUAUCCUCCAGCACCAUCAGUCACUAUCCUUGGUUCUUGUUUUGAGCCUGAACUUCAUUGAGGACCUACUAGAAAAGCAGUCUGAGUAGAUCUCUGGUCAUAGAAGGUAGUAAGAAAGAUGAGAACCAUGAAGGUAACCUAGAACCUAUGAAGGACUGAAGCCUUUGAGGAUACACUGGAUGUGCACAUGUCUUACCGUCUCCAGCCUUAGUAACACCAGUAUCCUGCAGAGGAGCUCAAUGAUCUGAAAAUGUACAUGACUUGAGACUUGAAGAACCAUUGGUGGAGACCGAGGAGUUCCAACUGCAGAUGAUGUCCUAUGCAGCAGGAUGAGCCAGCAGAUGACAGGCAACAUGACCCUUGCUCAAUCGCAAGCAAGUGCUUGUCACAAGGAUUCUGGAUGGUGUUAUCUUCUCCUCUGGAAGAUACAAGGAAACUCUACCAUUCAGCUCCUCCAAGUCUUCAGGCAUCUUCAUGGAAGGCACAGCAAGAGGAGAGACAGUGUCAGUGCAUCCACUGCUCCACCACAGUCUGCUUUCUCAUUAGGAAAACAAAAGGCCUCCCAGGAAUUCUGAGACCUGCACAGAAGGAGGACUUUAUUAUUAACAUCGAUGGAAGCUUACUAACCUUGGAUUUUUAUGAAAAUUGGCUUAGCAUCCCAGAUGGAACUCUGGCUGGAAAAAUUAAUGGCAUUCAAAGCCUUUUGCAACAGAUCCCAGAACCAAACUUUAUACUAUUAAAACAUCUCAUAUGUGUAUUAGUAAUAAUAAAAGAUUCUUCCAUGAAUAAUUUAGACAGUUACAGAUUAUCUCUGUGCAUAGCUUCACAUGUACUGUGGGGUCAGACUUUGAGAGAUUCAUUAUUUGGGAGUGACGUCUUAAGAAAGGAAACCCUAGGAUUGCAUUCUUAUGGAGUGGAGUAGAAUAUGUAUUGAUCUAUUUCAGGAAGAUUUGGGACGGGAGAUUUUUAAUGUAGUUUAAAAUGUCUCUUAUACAAAUUAUGAUUGACAACUAUGAUCAAAUAUUUGGAAAUGAUGAUAUAUUUAGUAAACACACUGACAAAAGGUCUGAAGACUUAAAGACAUACAAAGAAUCAAUAAAUUAUUCUGGAAAAUCUCCUAUUAUGACAAAAGCCAUAGCUGACCACAACUGGAAAACCAAUGAUAUUGAUGAAAAAUUUAAUAUUUCAUAUGCUGCACUGCAGGAAGAAGGUCCUACAGGAUCAUCCGUGCAGGUCCUUUGACUUGUCCAAGUCACGCAUUUUCACUCGUCUCUGACAAGAUAAAUUCAUUUUCCUAAAAGAAACAGAAAGGCUAUAUAUAUACAUACCAAGCAACCAGUUUAUUCUGAUCCAACACCACCAAGAAAGAAAUGCUUAUUUGGCAAAAAUCUUACAAGCAUUUAUGUCGACAGAAAGCUGCCUGCUCCAAAACUUGAUAUGUCAUCCAUAAUUGCAGGGAAAGGACGAGAAUCAGAUCACAUAUUCAAAAUUCUACCUGAAAAUUCACACUGGUGCCUCAGAGAGAGGAUUGACAGUCAACAACUCAUUGAAUGGAUUAAAGAAUGCAUGCUUGUAAUAGCAUCUGUCUUGAAGGACUUCAUUGCAAACACUGAAGGAAGUUUACUUACUUCUGACUUAUAUGAGAAUUGACUUAGCGUCCCAGAUGAAGGAACUCUGGUUGGAAAAAUUAAUGCCAUCCAAAGACUUCUACUGAAGAUUCCUCAGGCAAACUUUAUCCUGCUAAAGCAUCUCAUUUGCGUAUUAGUAAUAAUAAGAGACUCAUCCACGAAUAAUUUAGACACUAACAGGUUAUCUAUCUGGAUAUUUUGUGGGAUCAGACUACAAAGGACGCAUGGUUUGGGAGUGAUGUAUCAAGAAAGAUGUCCAUUAUACAAAUCAUGAUCGACAACUAUCAUCAAAUAUUUGGAAAUGAUAAUAUAUUUAAUAAACAUAUUGACAGAAGAUCUGGGGAUUUAAAGACUUGUGCAGAUUCAAUAAACUCUUCUCGCAAAUCACCUAUUAUGAAAGAAUUCCUAGCUGGCCUCAACAAGAAAACAUGCGAUAAUGGUGAAAAAUUAAAAAUUUCAUCCAUUGCUCUGCAGGAGGAAGGUCCUACAGGACAGAACAGAACAACUACCACAUAUAAGUGGUAGAAGAUGACUGAAGACAUUAUAAGGUCAUUCUAUUUUAAUGUUCCCUUCUACCUUCCACUAUAUCAUAGCAGAACAAUUAUUACAACAUCCUGCUUCAGCAUUCAUAUGCUAUCAUAAUAAAUGUUAUAAUAAAUAAAGUGUUAUUGCUUACA